UUCAGAUAUGUUGAACACAGUAUCUAGUUCAGAACUGAGUACUAUCAUGUGACUCUCCUUCACUUCUUGUAGUAUAUGUCAAAUUAGCAUUGCUUAUAAAUUGGUUAUUAACAAUUUAUCUUGUUCUGAAAUAGGAAAAAUGCAGAAGCCAUUACCUGAGCUGCUAAAGGAAUUUGGUUUACCUGUUGGGAUCUUUCCACAGGACGCCACAAACUACGAGUUCAACGAAGAGACGGGCAAGUUGACUGUCUUCAUCCCUGAGACCUGCGAGGUUGGGUACAGGGAUUCAUCGGUCCUGCGGUUUUCGACAACGGUGACGGGUUACCUGGAGAAAGGGAAGCUAGCUGAAGUGGAAGGCUUGAAAACAAAGUUGAUGAUUUGGGUGAAAGUGACUUGUAUCUCAGCAGACCCAUCAAAGGUGUAUUUCACGGCAGGGAUGAAGAAAAGCAGGAGCAGAGAUGCUUAUGAGGUUAUACGGUCUGGUUUUAGUGUUGAUAAAUUCUAACUUAUGGUACCAAUUAAUAAUAAAACGAGUGUUACCAAGUUAGUUUUUGUAUGUAUGCUUUUAGCACUUUGUGUUAAACAACACCUGAUGAAGCAAACCUUUUACUUAUUAAUGUGUAAGAAUGUUGGUACUUGAAUUGUGUUGCAGUAAGCAGAGAUCAAGCACAAAUAUUUUACUUUAGAUCGCUCAUGGUACAUUUUAACAAAACAUAUAACAAGUAGAGAAACAAAUAGGUACUCUGAGUAAAGGUAAGCUGUUGGUCAUGGAGUAGUAUGAAAGAAGUAAUUGGAAGCUACAUAAGUUUUAGUAGAAUUUAAAAUAUCCCCAAGUGAUAAUAAACAAAAUUUAGACGGUAAUUGAACGCUUUAUAGGGUGUUGUUAUUGAUUAGACGAGUGUCAAAACUGUUUUUUUUUAAAUCGUUGAGUUUAAGUUUGAUUUGCUGAUUAUUAGACUAAAUUAGAGCACUGGAUAGUAUCAUAAAGGUCCAAUAUAGACUCACUGAUACCAACAGCAAGUCAAUUAAACAAAGGCCUGCAAGUCUGAGAAUAAGGAACUCAAUAGCAAGAUGCAAAAAACAAAAACAGAACAUAAGUUUUCUGAAACAGAGGAAAGACACAGUUUUAAGCAGCUUGUUGAGCAGAGAGCCUCUUCCUAGCUUCCUCAAUGAUGGUAAGCUUAAUACCUUUACCCUUUGGAAGAGACACCCAUGGCUUUGUUCCUUUCCCAAGCGUGAACACAUUCCCUAACCUCGUGAGUCGUGGCAAACUCAUGUCCAGUAGAGUCUUGAAUAUGGAAGGUCUCGAAGCUUCUUAGCUGGAUGUCUUGCAUGCAUUGUCUAUGAAAAAGCUUGAUUUUCAAACUACUUUAGUUUUCGUUUGUCCUUAAAAUCAUCAUUUAUUUCUUUUUAACAAAAGCAAAAUAUUGUUGUAAUUUUAAAUGUCUUUUUUUUAUAUAGUAGUAGCUAAUUUCUUACAUAAUUUAAUACUAUUUAAAAUUUUAUUUUAUAAAAAAAAAAAAGCAUUGGACAGAUUACGUAAAAAUCUAGAACUAGUCCCUUGUAAGUUUGUAACAUAUGAAACCAAUAUCUUUUUAAAGAAAUAAAAAACGUUAACAAAAACAAUAUACGGUUUAGACCGGUUCAGUAUAUGAACACGAGCCAACAGAAGUUGAAAAUUUUGCAAUAUUUGGGUCGUCGGAUCAAAACAUAUUGUAGGCUAACCGUUGAAAUAACGGCCAUAUAAUUACCCGCCACACAAAAUAGGAAUGUUUACUUGACAGAUAGUGAUGGUGUUUAUGUCCCCGUUACUAUGGUGUCUGGAUUCGUGUUUGGUUUGUCAGUCUAGGGUUUAUAACUGAUACUUCCACAUGGAUCGUGCUGCUUGCAAAGUGUGAUAACAAUUCAAAGCAAAAGUUGGUGGAACCAAGUGCACACCACUUGUCUGAUGAAUUUGUCUCUGUGAACAACUUUAGAACCGUCUUUCAUUUUCUUAUAGGAAAGUAAAUGUUUCGCGCUCUUAAGCUUAAUCAUUGUGGCUUGCAAAGGCUAAUGAUAAGUUUCACACUGACUUUUAUUGUGGCUCUUUAGCUUCCAGACAAGUUACUCCUCUUUGAUUUGUUUAGUCUCUCCAUCAAUAAAAACAUUAGUGAUCACUCUUACGGCUUUAGUCUUUGAUUCCUGAUCUUCCUUGUAACUUCCUAAUCCGUGUUUUAUGCAAAUUCUUCAAGAGAAUAAUAUUUUACUGAAAAAAUAGAGUUUGUCUAAUAUUUUAAGACCUAGGAGACCGUGUUUACCUCACUCUCUUCCGCCCUAGUUCGUUUCUCUCCCAGGCACGGAGUCCGAGGCAGCCGCUCAACAAGCUUUCUCCACUCCCUAUUUUUAUGUUAAUAUUUUUUCCUAAAAUAGAGAAAUCAUACUAUAGAGGUGGAUUUACUCAAAUGUAUGUUCUUAUAAUAAAAUUCCUCUAUUUAUGAAAAUAUACAUAAUUGUUAUUUUUAUCUCUAAAUAUAGAGACAAAAAACAAGAUUUUUCUAUAUUUUUCUCUAAAAUAUAGUAACUAUAUUAUAUAGACAUACAUCGGAGAUACUCCAGAGAACUGAUGCAAUUAAGUACGAGAGGUCCACCUUCAAUCCCAGAUCAUUUCACCAAGAACUGAGGCUAACACACUUUUUUGUAACACAAUUUUUUUUGAAACACUAUUGAGGCUACUAACACACAAUAACUAAAAGCAAUAAUGUAAAUACUUUUUUUUUUUAAACCCUUGUAAACUUUAUAUAUGUGAAAUCAUAAUACUGAGAUUUUAUACAAAACAUUCCAAAGAACACGGCAAGAAAAUGAGCUUGCCUAAGAAAAAAAUGGACUCCUUGAAACGUGAUAAAGGCGCUUUUAUAACUUUUUGUGGUCAAGUUGACCUUAAGGGUCUUUGACUAUUUCUUUCCUUAAAUACAAAACAUUUUAAAGAACACGGCAAGAUAAGGGGGAAACUCUUGUCGUUUCAUGAAUUAAACAGUGAACGUUGUGCUGUUUUAGCUGUUCCGUGGUACAAAUAGUCUUCUUCGUACGCGUCAAAGUAGAACGCCAAAGCAAGCCACCAUCUUCUCUAUCUCGCUGGGCGGAUUAUUACAGAAGAGAGAUGGAUCAGAUACUGAACAAGGUGGGCUCUUAUUGGUUAGGACAAAAGGCAAACAAAGAGUUCAAUUCCGUCGGUGACGACUUUAAUGUAUCCUUCCCUUUCCCUAUCUCUUUCUUUGCUUUUAAUAGUUUCAGUUUAUUAUUACAUAAUCGAAAACUCUGUUGUGUGUUUAAUUGAAAGUUCACUGCUUUAUCGUUACUCGUACCUUAACUGAAAACCCUUGUAGAAGAUACUAGAGAUAGAAGAAGAUUGGUUAUAUAUAUGUUUACACUUGGUCCUGAAUCCCAUUUAGCACUUGUUGUUACAGUUUUGUACUUAUGGGUAACAUAUCUUGAAUAAAGUUUAUUACUUUUGGUCUCUAUUUCUCGAAGAACACAAAAGUGUCCUGAGAUUGAUGAUUCUUUCUUGCAGUCAUUGUCUAGCAGUAUUGAAGGAGGUACCAAGUGGUUGGUCAACAAACUCAAAGGUUUGUUUUUUUUCAACUUCUUCCAGUUCAGAUAUGUUGAACACAGUAUCUAGUUCAGAACUGAGUACUAUCAUGUGACUCUCCUUCACUUCUUGUAGUAUAUGUCAAAUUAGCAUUGCUUAUAAAUUGGUUAUUAACAAUUUAUCUUGUUCUGAAAUAGGAAAAAUGCAGAAGCCAUUACCUGAGCUGCUAAAGGAAUUUGGUUUACCUGUUGCGAUCUUUCCACAGGACGCCACAAACUACGAGUUCAACGAAGAGACGGGCAAGUUGACUGUCUUCAUCCCUGAGACCUGCGAGGUUGGGUACAGGGAUUCAUCGGUCCUGCGGUUUUCGACAACGGUGACGGGUUACCUGGAGAAAGGGAAGCUAGCUGAAGUGGAAGGCUUGAAAACAAAGUUGAUGAUUUGGGUGAAAGUGACUUGUAUCUCAGCAGACCCAUCAAAGGUGUAUUUCACGGCAGGGAUGAAGAAAAGCAGGAGCAGAGAUGCUUAUGAGGUU
rnacentral:lncRNA from 1 species